UGUGCGCUAGGACCGAUUGGUCUUCUGAGGAACUGGACUCUGGAGUCAGUCGUUCAAUAAUCCUUACUUUUUAUUUUUUUUGUUUAGGAUUCUUUCUGUUACUUUUAAAUGUGCUGCGCCAGUGAAAGAUUUGAUUAUUCUAAAAAUAGAGUCUAUCAUGAACAAAUUUGUCUUUUUUACAUUGUUCGAGUUCCACUUGCUGUUGUCAGAGUUUGUGUUCCAGUUUCUCAAAAAAUGUAUCUGCUGCUGUAUGGGGCAGAUGGCUCUUGAGUUCUAGUUUACUCUUGCAGAGUUCAGUGGUGACUUUAUAUUAUUUCUUCUCGUUCUGCUGGAGAAUGAGUUUAACAAUAUUCAUAGAAUGUUGCAAGUGCAGCUCAUCCCAGUUUUGUUUAAACUCUUCGUCCUUGGUGAAUUGUGAGAUUUCUUUAUAGAUGCGGAGUCGACGAGGGACUCUGUUGCUAACAUUGCGGGGCAUCACCCCCACACGCAUAUACAAAUGUAUUCCUCCCUCAGACGCAUCGCCGGGAUGACAUCGCUGUGUUAGCUUCUUGUUGCCUAGCAACCUCUCUGACGCGUCAGCCGACAAGCCAUGGCACCCGUGUCUAUUUAAACGGGACCGUGCGCAUCACUGGUGGGCGUGACCAAGCAGGAAGACCCCGCAAAACGGGACAGUCAACCACGAGUUCUGAUUUCUUCCUCCCCUCCCUGCAUUGUGCUUCCCUUAAUCCACAGGGAAUAAAAGUGCCUUCUUGCGUCUACUUCGGGGAUUCACAUGCUGAGCCUUCUGGAAAGGAGAAACAAAAUGUCCGCUCUGUGCAAUAUUAACCUCCAAGGCAAUCAACAGCCAUCACACCGGCAUGGAACAGCGCGACAUUCACAAGUCAAUAUGAAAAGAGAUCCAACACAUUUCUAAUGCACGCCUGGCUCUAAGAUGUGACACUCUGGUCACAGACACUUCUUAGAGAAGAAGGGACACGAUAGCUUUGUUUUCACACAUGUAUUUACUUACUCACUUUCUCUUAGGUUACUAAAUACGGUGGUUCUAUAUGUAAAAAAAAUUUUUUUUAUGAAUGUCCAAAUAUGUUCAAAGGGAAUUUGAGAGCUUAUAUCAUGCUCAGAGCUGCAGACAUGGGUAAAUUAUAAUAGUCUCUUAAAUUAUGGCUGUUUGUAAGAUUAUAAAAUUUUCCUUUCAAGCUUAAUUGAGCACUGUCAGAUACAAAAACUUUUGAUCUGUUGUAAAGCAUGCAAAACCAAUAGGUUUUGCAUUUGCUUUCGUUAGAAAAUUUUCAGUAUUUCAUACAGAAAAAGCCAGUCAAACAACUGCUUGGACACAUACUAGUCCUGCUGUGUCCAUGUGUCAUUACCUAUGUCAUGGACACACUUCCUUGAUUGACAGCUGUGAGCACAGGGCUCAGAGCUGGAGGAAAAAUCCUCCCACUGUCAUCUUGUGUCCCGCUACUGUCAGUGAGGACAAGCUGGGAGUUGUAGUUUUGCUAAUCCUAGGGGAGAUGUGAGCAGACAGCAUACUGAGGGAGGAGGCGGAGACCUGCACAGUGAGGCCACGCCCCCUCCUUUUGAGAGGAAUUCAGACUAGUGAGCUAACUUAAAAGUGUAAUAAAAAAAUAAAGGUGCUGGACACAUAAAAAUUAGAUGUACAUGGUCAGAAUUAGGUACUGAGUGAUAUAUUUAAAAAAAAAUUAAUUUUGUUGGAUCUGAUGGGUACGCUUUAAGUGCCAAGGAGGUUUUGCCAAGCUGCAGCAUGCAUGCCUUCCCUCUCCCUGCAUGGUUUCCGGCAUUGAGCCCUGUAAGUCAUUGUAGGAAGGGGGUGUAGAGACAUCUGUGCUGCAGCUCAAAAACAUUAUCAUGCCAGAGCUCUGAUAGAUUGUGGUGUUGAAUAUUAGGGUUUUAAUAUAAGGAUUUAAGUCCAAGGUUGGAGCCCUUUAAAAAAUUGUGUAAGCUUUAUUUUUUGUGAACAUUUAGUGUACGUUCACACUUACGGUAUAUGCUACAGAUUUAAUGCUGUGUAAAACAGUAUAAAUAACGGAACACGGUAUCUAAGGCCUGCUUACUAGUCAUUUUCUUCUAAGCUACCAAACCUCAUUCCUUUAACAGAUGUUAGGUCAUAAAAGGUGUAGUCAUACUAGCAAGGCCAUUGCCAUUAUUGACCAUAGGUGUGUCCAGGAUUUAAACUUCACCCCAUUUGAGAAAAAAAAAAAAAAAAAGGAAAAAAUCUGACCCUGUCAUGUAAUCUCAUAAAUUUUGUGCUAAACAAGCAAUAACGCAAAUAUGACAUAAAGAAAGGUUAACCUAACAAUAUUGUACUAUAUUUAUACUAUUAUCGAGACCACCAUUUCUGAGCCCUCAUGUCAUAUUCCAGCUUUUCCAGUGGUCUAUAACCAUUCUCUUUAACCUAAAAUAAUAUAUACAUGUACAAUGCUAGACAUAUAUUAUACAGCUUUAAGCUAGAAGGAACUUCACGGCUCUGGAAGAUUACAGAAAACAUACAUACCCAUAUAAUGGGCUGGUGAUAGGGAAAAUUACAAUAAGGGAAAAUUACAAUGGUAAUUGUUUUUCCAUCAUUUAAUAUAGAGAGACUAUUAGGUUUCUGGCGAAUAAGAAUACAAGUACUAGGACUCUAGAAGUAGGGGACAAUAUAACAAAACCCCUGAAAUAAAAAUAAAAAAAACCUCUAUAGGUUGGGGGCGGUUUUACAACUUGGCUCCAUUCACUUCAAUGGUACUGAGCUGCAGAACCACACCCAACCUGGAGACAGCCGGGGGUUUCUUUUAUUUUUAUUUUUUAAGAAAGUAGCUCUGUUUUUCUACUCCUGUCUAACCCCUUUAAGGCACACGCUUUGGUCCCAAAAAAUGUCUGGUUUGCAAACUGCAUAAUAGCCAUAAUAGAAUAGUCUAUGGCAAAAAAAAAAAAGUUGGAAAAACAUCUUUAGUUGCAGCCUAAAAACUGCAGAUUUUUAAGGCUUAAAAAAAAAAAGUUCCAUAAAACUGUUUGAACCCAACCUCGCUUAGCAGCAGAUAAAGACCUUACUAUAAGACUACGUUCACAUGGCUCCGCUUGGAAUUUCCGUUGCAGCAGAGUCCUUUUUUUUAAUAAUGAGAUUCUGCUACACCGUGCACACCCCGUAAUUUCCACGGUAAAAAUAUCUGCCUAGGAAAUCUCUAUUCCGCCUCUGCACAAAGAGCUGACAUGUCAUUUUUUUUCUGCAGAAUCUGCUUGGAAAUGCAUUGCAGAAUAUUGAGACGCCACAUUUCCGAGCUGUCCUAGCGCCAGCACCCGCUUUCUGCAGAAUGUCUGCUGGAAAUUUUGUGUAAAAAAAAAUGUGCUGGAAAAUUUGUGUAAAAAAAAAAUGUGUAAACAUAUCCUUAUUUACCAGGAUGACAAGAAACACAUGGUAAAAAUGCAGGAGCCUGCAAGCAUAGACACUCCCUAUGA